ensembl:lncRNA
GGUCGAAGUGCUGCGAAGUGCUCUUCCGCCAUACAUUAUAGUGCUAUAGUGCAUAAUGGUGCUAAGCUAAACGCUAACAUAGUGGCGCCGCGUGCUACAGCAAUUGAGUGCACACACUGAGAUGGGAGGAGCCCUGGGUUAGUGCUUAACACGCCUGCUCUGACACAUUGGACAAAGAUGCUCAUGUAAACAAGGUUAAGAUAUUUCCAUUACCAAGACAAGCAGUAUUAAAGAAAACAGUCUGAACUCUUUCUUUCUAUCCAGUCCCUGCACACAAACAGAAUAAGCACUUAGUGUUCCAGACAACCCAAUAGCUCAGCUCCUUCUAAUGAAAGGAAGCAGCAGGAACAAUUAGUUGUGCAAACAAACAGAUCAGAGCGCAAAGACCAGGAUCCACUAUCACUCCCCUGACGUCAUGGCCACUAACAGGCUUGAAUGAAGGUAAUUGGGGGAGCUGGAAGUUGAGACAAAAUCAAUGGAAACUCAGGCAUACUAGUGGGGAGAUUACUCACCGGUUCACACCAUCACUCUGGGGACUCAAAGACUGCCAGGAACGUGAAGCAGGACUAUAUACCAGAACUGCAGAACAGGACAGAGACUCAUGAACAGGACUGUGAAACAGGAUUGCGGGAAAGGAUUAUGGAAGACUGUGGAAUACGGUUAAUGAGUUAAUGAGAAAAAGAAAAAAAAAACUCUGAACAAGACGUUGCUAAUUUAUCAUUUUGUUAAUGCUUUUAUCCCAAGCAACUCUCGGUAUACUUAUUACAGGGACAAUCCCCCUGGAGAAACAUGAGGUUAAGUGUCUUGCUCAAGGGCGCAAUGGGGAUAGUCCAUGGGUCACCUCCUGCCGGGUUUGAACCUACAUCCUUUCACUUACCAGUUCUUUAACCGCU